CUACUGGUCAAUGUGGCCAGCGCAAUUACUAUUGAAAGAGCUGAGAACAAGUACAGGUCACCUUAUGCUUUGUCACCUAAAAACGCAUACCUGAUGGCUUUAUGAAGGUGGUACGUUAAUAUUAAGUUUACAGAAAGCGAUCGCUAAGUCCGUGACUUAUGUAAAUCACGAUGUACGCAUUCAUGCAAUAAAGGAUGACGCGAAUUUCGGUUUCGAAUCUGUUUUUUGGAUGCGUAGUAGUUUCGUUUGACAUGCGAUCGCGCGUCGACAUCGGACGCUAUGACACACUCGUGCCUUAUGUGCCACCGAAGCCCCGAAGUGGUCUGGCAUAUACCUUCACAUAUAUGCAAUGGCAAGCCCUUCCAUGUGUUCCAAAGACAAUGCCUACGCCUAGCCACAGCAGCUCCCUCAUACAGACUCCACAAGCCAAGAGGCCGUGGAGGCAAAUGCAGG